GAUGAACGCUGGCGGUAUGCCUAACACAUGCAAGUCGUACGAGAGUUUUUAACUCUAGUGGCGGACGGGUGAGUAACACGUGAGAAUUUGCCUUUAGGAGGGGGAUAACAAUUGGAAACGAAUGCUAAUACCCCAUAUGCUUUUGAGUGAAACGGAUUUAUCCGCCUAGAGAGAAGCUCGCGGCUGAUUAGCUUGUUGGUAAGGUAAGAGCUUACCAAGGCGACGAUCAGUAUCUGGUUUGAGAGGACGAUCAGACACACUGGAACUGAGACACGGGUCCAGACUCCUACGGGAGGCAGCAGUGGGGAAUUUUCCGCAAUGGGCGAAAGCCUGACGGAGCAAUACCGCGUGAGGGAAGACUGCCUAUGGUUGUAAACCUCGUUUUUUCAGGGUAGGAAUAAAUGACGUGUACCUGAAGAAUAAGCAUCGGCUAACUACCGUG
rnacentral:rRNA from 1 species